AUCUAGCUGACAAGUCCCAAAUAAGACGAACCGCGCUUUCUGGAU
rfam:Schistosoma mattheei strain Denwood, Zambia genome assembly, scaffold: SMTD_scaffold0007748